rnacentral:rRNA from 1 species
CCUACGGGAGGCAGCAGUGGGGAAUUUUGGACAAUGGGCGAAAGCCUGAUCCAGCAAUGCCGCGUGAGUGAAGAAGGCCUUCGGGUUGUAAAGCUCUAAAGUCAGGGAAGAAACGGUGAGAGCUAAUAUCUCUUGCUAAUGACGGUACCUGAAGAAUAAGCACCGGCUAACUACAUGCCAGCAGCCGCGGUAAU